AUGAGGUUUUUUCGGGCUUUCUAUGACCAUAGCAGUGAUCUGAGCGGCAUCAACAAUGCCAACAUUGUGCUGCUCCCAAAGAAAGAGAACCCAACGGAUGUUCAAGAUUUCAGGCCCAUUGCUUUGGUCCACAGUAUACCCAAUCUUAGAACAAAGGUUCUAGCAGUCCGACUUCAAAGUCUCAUCCCGAGCCUCAUACACCCUCUACAAUCUGGUUUUUUGCCUGGAAGAUGCAUAGCCGAAAUUUUUUCUUUGGCAGUCGAACUGGUUCAGCAGGCAAAGAAGAGGAAAAGGCCGAUGCUGGUGCUCAAGUUAGAUUUCCAGAAAGCAUUUGACAGUGUCAGUUGGGAUGCUCUGAAGCUCAUCCUUACAGCCAGAGGUUUUGGAAGCAGAUGGGUCAGAUGGAUACACGACAUCCUAUCAACUAGUUCGUCCAGGAUAGUAAUCAAUGGAUCUGCCGGGGAGAAAAUCGUUUUAAGGAGUGGGAUAAGGCAAGGGGAUGCCCUCUCUCCCUACCUCUUUAUCCAGGCAGCCGAUGUUUUGCAACAACUCUACAAAAGGGAACACCAAGCAGUGAACCUUAAGAAUCCACUCGGGGGUGAUGGCCCCUACCCGAUCCUGCAGUAUGCCGACGACACGUUGAUUUUAAUGCAAGGGGACAUCUAG
rnacentral:rRNA from 1 species